rnacentral:misc_RNA from 1 species
UUAUUACGCGCCGUGGCCGUCUGGUAGCUGGUCAUGCUGAUGAAAACGGGGAUAAUCCCCACCGGGUUAACCAGCGCAAAGAGCCCGAUAAAGAACUUAAAGUAAACAGGAAAAUCAAAAAGCGGUUGAAUCACGGUUAGCUCCGAAGCGUUAGCCGGAUGAAGUCAAUGUUCGUUAAUGAUCAAAACGCGCAGAAGAUACGCCUUUUAUUCGCAUAGUUCAGCUCUUAUCUACGCCUAAUUUCAUCCAUUCAUCGCUGUUAUUUAUAUGUACUCGUUAUGC